UGAAUAAAAGAAAUAAAAAUAGAACUAUAGAUUAUUAGUAAAAAGUAAACCAUCCGCCACCUCCUAGUUGUUACAAACAGAAUAGCAAAGAAGAUUUAUUUUUGCACAUUGAUAAAAUGAUGUUUUCACUGGGUAGACUAACUAAAAAACACCUAUUUUCUACUAAGAGAAAAUAGGUGUUUUUAUUUACUUUUAGCAUACGAAAAUACUAUUUUAGUAGUUUGC
rnacentral:ncRNA from 12 species